UAAUAAUGUCUUUCCUAUGUGUCUCUUUUCUCUCACAACCUUCCCAAAUCACCGUCUUAACUCCACAUGUUCACAACAUGGUUUCUUAAUUUCUUUGUUCAUGUUGGUCAUGUUCUAUUAGAAUCUUGUUGGGAUAAUAAUACAACAAACUUCAUUUUUUUGGGGUCAGUUUCUACUUUCUACUUUUUUAUUUAGUACAAUUAAGGUUGUUUUCUAUUGUGCUGGAUGAUUGUGAUGUGAAGCCAUGUGGUUAGGCCUUGGAAACUUGUAUGAGUUUUGUUCAUUUUAUCAUUGAAAUUGAUGAUAUUAUGAACAAUGAUCAAUUUUCUCUAAAAUUUCAGGACAACCCUUCGAUUUUGAAAUUAUGUCUGCUUAUGGACAUGAACAUAUGUAUUCUACAAGGAGUCUCUCAGCUGGUUCUGGUAUGAUCAACAAUUACUAUCACCUUUGUUAGUUUUUUUUUAGUGUGUAACCCUCUGGAACUCAGGUUCUCCCGAACAACUUUUGGUAGAUUCUGUUCACGAAUGAAUCAUCGUUUUAGUCUUUGGAAAAAAAUAUAUUGAAAAUUCUCGAUCAUAUUAGUCUUUUUGGAUCAGUCAAUUUAGCCUGCAAAUUGAUCUCGAAAAGUCUAGUCUGA
rnacentral:lncRNA from 1 species